rnacentral:tRNA from 1 species
GCUGCUGGUGGAACUGGUAGCAAAGCUCUCUUGCGGGGUUUGUGGGAUCUUCCCGUGCGAGUUCAAGUCUCGCUCAGCGCACCA